rnacentral:lncRNA from 1 species
CCUUUUCUUGAGAGUGAGAGUAUACACAAAACUAGUUUCGCCAGGCUUUUGAUAGAGUGACGCGAAUCAGAAGAUUUUUUGCAGUUGUAUCUUGGGACUCAUUACGUUAUCAAACCGUCGCACUACGUACGGGACGUAUUUUGAGUUAAGAAAAGAGAUAAUAUCUCGCCUCUGCAGUUGAAUCAUUUUUUUCUUAAUCUUUGGUAUACUUUUAUCAAUUUUUUUCUUUACAAUAUUCAGUUAUUCAUAAUUUAUAUAAUAAGGUCCUAUCAUUGGCCUCCUCAAUCUUUGUUGUAAUCCGUAUCUCAAUCUCAUAUGUAUCCAGGUGCUGAAAUAACAGUGCAAGUUGUUCUUCUCUAACAGCAGAUAGAAUCACGGAGUCUCCACUACGAGAGUUAGAAUCCAGCUCAAGACAACGAUAUGCAAAUGAUAAUAUCAACAACAAAGAAACGAUUGAUUGCUGGUUGGAAAUUAAAUUAAACCAGGAACGUAAACCGGAUAAACCAAAUAAUUGAAUCACUACGCAAAUCAACCUUUGACAAAUAAAAGACAGCAGUAAAAAAAAAAUAUCUUUUUACGCUUGACGUUAAACAAAAGAAAACGACGAGGUUAAAUAAAACGAUUUAUAUAUUUUUAAAGACUUUUAACCGAAUCUGAUUGAAAUCCCGUUUAGAAAUAUCAAUACAGAAACGUAAAUUGCAGAAAUAUAUAAAAAUAAUCCAAUAGAUCCUGCAAAAUAAAAACGUAAGAGCAAGAAUAUGACUUUAACGCUGACACCGAGAGCAAUCGGAACCCAAUCCGAUUCCAACACCUUCUUAGAAAAUAUCAAUCAACCUGUUCUUAAAAAAAAACUUUUAAAAUAAUCAGUCCGGUUAGUGCAAAACAAUAAACGGAUAUUUUGAGUUAAGACUGAUAGGACCGUCUUAUAUAAACUACGGAGAGCUGAAUAUUGUAAAGAAUAAAAUUGAUAAAAGUAUACCAAAGAUUAAGAAAAUGAUGAUUCAACUGCUGAGGCGAGAUAUUAUCUCUUUCCUUAACUCAAAAUACGUCCCGUAGUGCGACGGUUUGAUAACGUAUUGAGUCCCAAGAUACAACUGCAAAAAAUCUUCUGAUUUGUGUCACUCUAUCAGAAGCCUGGCGAAACUAGUUUUGUGUAUAUUCUCAUACUCAAAAGAAAACUAAAGAGAAAGAUAAAAGAAAUAUGGAUGAUCGUAUGUUUUCUCUAUGCAUCUUGGAAUAAGGAAGACCAUUGUCUAUAUAUAUACUCUCAUAGAAUUGCCCAAUAAAUCCAAGCAACAGUGGAGAGAUACGGAGGUUACGUUCUUCAUAUUUUAUAUUGAUU